AUAUCUGCUGAACAAAGAAAAUAAUACCAGACAUCUAAGUAAUCCUUUAAGUACUUGACAUACAUUAUUACAUCAUUCAAUUACCUCAACAAUUCUGAACAGUGGGUACCAUCUAGCACAAAGCCUGAAAGAUAAUAAACAUUUGAUAUAUGCUUGUUGAUAGCUUUUGUGGAUGAGGAAAUGAGGACUCGGAAAAGCUAGGUAACUUACCUGUGGCCACACAGCUAGGUAAAUGGUAAAGUCUUCUAAAUCACAAAUGAUUUAAAGGAAAAACAGACUUUUCCCAUUAUAAUUCUUGAUGCCAUGGUAUAGUAGAUAAAGUGCUGGAGACAGAAUCAGAAGGAACUUAAUUCAAACUUCAUCUAAGAUAUUUACCAGCUGGGAGCUUAGAUGCUGUCCCAAGCACACUCAUAAGACAACUUGCACAAGGGUGUGGCUUUCGCACUAUAAAGCAGAGAAGCUCACAGGGCAGGAUUCUGGGAAACUUCAGGGAAACAGGCUCAACUCAAUGAACAAGCAGACCAGUUGAGUUUGAAAGCAGUUUGGCUGUAUCUUGGGUACAAGUCUACAAAACAGCAAACUUUCUCAUCUGAGUUCUCACCUGAAGGACCUAGAAUACAGCUCCUACAUUUUUUUUUUCUUUUUUAAUCACGGUAUCUGUUUUUCCUCUUAAUUUUUAAAAAAAUGAGUACAGAAAGAGACUGAGGAAUCUCUGGUGGGAUGGGCCUGGGGGAGUUAGCCCUAUCUUCCCAAUCAGCCAUAACCUCCCUUGAAACACAUCCCUUAUUCAGACACCUAAGCAACUGUGCUCAUCAGACCACUUCUCCAAACCAUAUGCACUUCACCUAUGUGGUUCUUAUUGACAAACACUCAUGGAAAUCCAGGAAGAUUAAAGCAACCAACUUGCAAGACCCAAACCAAUUACAGUCUAGCGCAGUAUCAGCAAUCCUGAAAAGUUAUGUACAGACUGAAUUUCCUCCCAAAGUCAAGCUCGGUUUUACAUGUGCCAAGGAGAUACAGAUAUUUAAAGAAGCCAGGGAGCAAACGCUCUCUCAAAGGGAAAAAUCGCUUUACAGAGUGUAUGGACGUCGCUACUUCUUCUGGUUGACUUUGGACGGGGGCACUGGGGCUUUCUCAGAGAGCAUACCUAGCGCACCCUUGAAGCGCCGCUGCCGCGCAAUCACCUCACCUCACGCUGCCCUCCACGUCCCCGCACUGCAGGAGUGGACAAUGCACCAAACGGGAGCUCUCCCCACAGCUCCUGCAGCUCCCCAGCUCCGCCCAGGGCUGCUUUGGUUUGUCCUUUCUCCCAACAAGUGGUAGUCUGUCCUUAAAAGUUUGGAGCGAGACUGAAGGGGAUAAGAGAAGCCCUCUACUGGGAGAAAGCGGCUCAGGUCUACCAUCUGCGCCAGGUCCUCCUGGACUCAUCCUGAAGGAGUCCGUUCCGCCAAGCCUGGGGGUCCCUCUGUAAAUUUCCCAAAAGAUAAAUCCGCAAGCUUUGAG